UAAAAAAAAAACUAAUUUCGUAAUUGUUUUGCUACAUAUUUAUAUAAGAAUUAGGAUCACUUAAUCCUACUAAAUUAAUCGUAAAGCAUGCAAGCUGCAACCUGCUAGAUUAUCCAUAAACUGCUAAGACACCAACCACACAAAGUCAUGACAAUAGUAAAACAUCUUACCUAACUAGUAGUUAGCAAACUACUUUUGGGGAGGCUAAGAAGAGUUGUUUGCACCAUCUUUACACUUUAAAGGUUAAGGCUUAGCUAUGUUAAUCUUUCGAGAAGGAAACCAAAACAUUAUCAAAAGUUAACAUUUUAAUAUUGCAAUCCACCUCAAGUGAGCUAUUGUAAACCCCGUGGCAAUUAAUUAACAAUUAUAGAGAGCCAACAUCACAACUUGAAAAGAAAACUAAACUAUGAUGAUGUGUUGUUUUAUUACAUCUUUCUCUAGUUAAGAAAACUGUUAGCAAUAAAUUUUCAUCACCGGACACUUCAAAUUCAAUAACCAUAAAAAGCACAAAAAAUAAAAGAAAGAAACAUUAGGAGGCAUUGUCUUUAAAAGUCCCAAAUAUACAGAAACAAAAUCAAAAUCAAUAUAAACCCUAGAAAUUUCCCUACAAAUAAUAUUCCAAAAUCAAUCAACCUCUAGAAAUUUCGCUAAACCCACAAGCUAAACAACAUUUAAAACUUAAAUUAUACACUACAAUCAAUCAAAUAGCAACAAAUAUACACAAAAAUGGUGGGAAAAAUUAAAAAAAGAAAAAAGAAAAAGAACUUGAAAUUGUUAUCGUGCAAAUAAAAUUGAGGGAGGAAGAUAGAUAAUGGCGCUUCAGGCGAAGGAGUGACCGGCACCAUGGAAUGGAGGAAGAUGGAUAGAAACAGUGGUGGAGAUGGGCAAUUAUGAGUUGAGGGGAGCAAGAGGCUAAGAACAAAGAGAGAGAGAGAGAGUGAGUGACUUGGGGCACGCGAAUUUGAAUUUUCAUAUUCAUUUUAAUGACAACACAUUUUGUCAGUAUUUAGUCAAAAUUUUUGUAAAAG
rnacentral:misc_RNA from 1 species